UACGUAGGGGGGCAAGCGUUGUCCGGAAUCAUUGGGCGUAAAGCGCGUGCAGGCGGUUCGUUAAGUCCCGUGUUAAAGCCUCCGGCUCAACCGGAGAACGCCGCGGGAUACUGGCGAGCUUGAGGGCGGUAGAGGGUGAUGGAAUUCCCGGUGUAGCGGUGAAAUGCGUAGAUAUCGGGAGGAACGCCAGUGGCGAAGGCGGUCACCUGGGCCGUCCCUGACGCUGAGACGCGAAAGCUGGGGGAGCGAACGGG
rnacentral:rRNA from 1 species